UCAUCGAUGUACAAAUCGAUUGUCGGUGUAAAUAAUUUGUGGGCUGAGUGAAUUUUUUACAGCUUUGUUCAUAGUCCACAAUUAGCACACGAAAGCUUUUCAGAUCAUCGAUAAUUUGAACGAAUAAUAUCGUGUGGCUGUGAGUUCCAGUUUACGAUUUGUUAGUGAGGCAAACCGAUUCGUACAAGUCCAUCACAAGUGCAACAAGA